rnacentral:rRNA from 1 species
UGGGGAAUAUUGCACAAUGGGCGCAAGCCUGAUGCAGCCAUGCCGCGUGUGUGAAGAAGGCCUUCGGGUUGUAAAGUACUUUCAGUCGGGAGGAAGGUGUCAAGGUUAAUAACCUUUGCUCAUUGACGUUACCCGCAGAAGAAGCACCGGCUAACUCCGUGCCAGCAGCCGCGGUAAUACGGAGGGUGCAAGCGUUAAUCGGAAUUACUGGGCGUAAAGCGCACGCAGGCGGUUUGUUAAGUCAGAUGUGAAAUCCCCGGGCUCAACCUGGGAACUGCAUCUGAUACUGGCAAGCUUGAGUCUCGUAGAGGGGGGUAGAAUUCCAGGUGUAGCGGUGAAAUGCGUAGAGAUCUGGAGGAAUACCGGUGGCGAAGGCGGCCCCCUGGACGAAGACUGACGCUCAGGUGCGAAAGCGUGGGGAGCAAACAGG